rnacentral:lncRNA from 1 species
UGGCAGAGUUUGUAUUUGCAUGAUGCAACCAUGAGUCAUAUUCUAUUAUUGUCUAAUUCAAUUGUACCAUGUAGGUGAAUGUUCUGCAGGCUACUACUAUGACUGGGGCUCCAGCAGUCUGGAGCAGAGUCUCUGUCCUUCCGGUUUCUAUUGCCCAGCAGGCCCACACAAGCCCCUGGCCUGCACUGCAAGCACUUACAGCUCCGUCAUGGGCAAAAGUCACCAAGGAAAUUGUUAGCCAUGCCCAUUAUGCUUCUACCGUCAGGGUGCGUUAUUUAUUCUGUUUACAAGAAAAUUCAUUUAAAACUGUCUAUGUACUCUUAUAAGUCUAUAACAAUAGAUCCUAUUGUAUUACAAUGCGGGGGAAGCAGUAGCAGAACCUCUUCCAUGUCUGCCGGGGCAUUUCUGCCCCACGGGCACAUCACAGGGCACUCAGUUACCCUGUCCUCCAGGAACAGUGCAGGCACAGUCUGGGACAGCCAGUAAAGAUGAAUGUCUACCAUGUCCUGCAGGUGACAACAUGACAACAAAAAGAUUUAUUGCAUGUAUAGACUACCGUUCAAAGUUUGUGGGUCAGUAAUAUUUUCUGUCUAAAAUUCUCUGUAUGUGGAGAAAAAAACAUCUAAUUCAUGUAAUCUGUUUGUCUAGGCAUGUUUUGUGCUUGCCAUGGUCUUUCAGAGCCUACAGGGUGCUGCCAGGAUGGAUUUCACUGCCCUUUAGGGGCUACAAGCCCAAAUGGCACUUGAAAUCUGGUAUAUAUUGUUCUGUCUCUUAAUAAAGACACUGUGUGUUCACAAAGGGUUAAACUAAUUUACAAUGUGUGAUUUGCAGAUUGAAUCUACAGGCAACAACUUGCACCCGCCUGGCCAUUAUUGUCCAACUGGUAUUGGCUUUCCUCUCCCAUGCCCCGCUGGAACGUUCUCCAGCUCCCCAUGGUUGAGUGGGACAGAGCAGUGCCAGCCAUGUCCUCCUGGGUACUUCUGUGUGCAGACUGCUAUGGUCCAUCCAUCAGAAGCAGCUCUCUGUGAUGCUGGGUCAUUUUUGCCCUUUUGGCACUGCUGCAGCUGUACCUUUUCCUGUGGGCACACUGGGACAGGUUACCAGGGCUCAGUCAGAGGCUGCCUGUGUGCCCUGUCCUACCGGCCUCUACUGCAACCUGGAACAUCACAACCACAGGGGGGUUACUUCAUAGAAAGCUGUCUUCCAUGCCCAGCAGGGCAUCAUUGUGCCAGCGAGGGCCUGGAUGCUCCAACUGGACACUGUGCUGCAGGUUUUUACUGCCCCAUAGACUUCUCCUCCACCACCCCGCAUGCCUUCCUCUGCCCCAAAGGUCAUUACUGUCUCUUAGGCUCACCCCUGGCCUUGCUCUGCCCCACGGGACAGUACCAGCCAAAUCCGGGCUUGGAUAACUGCAUCCCCUGUCGUCCAGGCUAUUACUGUGAGGAGGCAAUUAUCGGAGACCCCCAGCCUUGCCCCCCACACUCCUACCCCCCUGCAGCCACAAUGGUUCCUCAGCCCUGUCACAAUGGCACAUAUACCCCACCUGAGGUCGGGGGUCUGCUAGAGGAGAGAGAGUGUUUGCCGUGUCCACCAGGAAAGUUCUGCAAGGCUGGCCAGGUGAAAGGCUUGUGUGCUGCUUGAUUCCUGUGCAUCUCUGGCAUUUCAGAGUACAGCCCCCAGGAUGCUUCUCUGCUCAACAGAGACCAGUGUGAGUGGGGAGCACAGUGUGCUGGGCCGUGUCCUGCUGGUACAUUAUUCAUCUUCCUAUAAACCCUAUGAAUAAAUAAGUUUUAUAUGAUCCGAAUUUCAAGAGGUGUUUACACUGUAGCUGUCCAGAGUGUGUG